rnacentral:rRNA from 1 species
GACGAACGCUGGCGGCGUGCCUAAUACAUGCAAGUGGAGCGACGAACCAGGCUUCGGCCUGGGGCAAAGCCGCGAACGGGUGAGUAACACGUGGGUAACCUGCCCCGAUGAUUGGGACAACCCGAGGAAACUCGGGCUAAUACCGAAUGUGCCCUCCGGCCAUAAGACCGGUGGGGAAAGGAAGCUUCGGCCUCCGCAUCGGGAUGGGCCCGCGGCCCAUUAGCUUGUUGGUGAGGUAAAGGCUCACCAAGGCGACGAUGGGUAGCUGGUCUGAGAG